GACGAACGCUGGCGGCGUGCCUAAUACAUGCAAGUAGGACGCAGUUGCGAACGGGUGAGUAACGCGUAGGUAACUACCUAUUAGAGGGGGAUAACUAUUGGAAACGAUAGCUAAUACCGCAUACUAGUAGAUGGACCUGCGUUGUAUUAGCUAGUAGGUAGGGUAAUGGCCUACCUAGGCAACGAUACAUUGCCGGACUGGGAGGGUGAUAGGCGACAAUGGGACUGGGACAGGGGCCAGACUCCUGCGGGAGGCAGCGGUGGGGAAGCUUCGGCAAUGGGGGGAACCCUGACCGAGCAACGCCGCGUGAAUGAAGAAGGUUUUCGGAUCGUAAAGCUCUGUUGUUAAGGAAGCGGUACUUAACCAGAAAGGGACGGCUAACUACGUGCCAGCAGCCGCGGUAAUUC
rnacentral:rRNA from 1 species